CUGCUGACGCGGACGCGGCGCUGUCCAACCCCACUGCCGAGCCCACCGAGGUUGCUGAGGCAGAGGAGGCGGCCGCCACGGCGGCGGCUGAGAACCUGGAGCCGGUGCCGGCCACCGCUGAGGCAGCAGCGGCCGCGGCCGCCGCUCCUGCUGUGCUGGCAGCCGCGGAGGCUGAGGCCGCGGCUCCUGCUGUGGUAGUGGCGGAGCUGGUCGAGGCGGCUGCUCCGGCGGCGGCAACGGAGGACGAGGCUGCCCCUGACGCCAAGCCUGUCGAGGCGACAGUCGAGGUGCUCGUGGCCGCUGACGCCACUCCUGCGGCCGCCGCUUCGGCUGCCGUAGCUGUAGGAGCCGUGGCUGUGCUUGGGGUGGCGGAGGCGGCUACAGAAGACGAGGUCGCUGCCCCCGCUGCGGCUGAGCCGGCGGUUGAGGCUGCUGCGGUCAAGGUGGCGCCGGUUGCGGCGGAGGUGGUGCCCGCUGCUGCCGCCGACGUGCCUACCGACGUGGAGGCGGCACCUCCAGUUGCAGUGGCCGAGGCGGUGGCGGUGGCUGAUGUCACGACCGUGGCGGUUGCUGUUGAGGCGGAGGCGGAGGCCCCCGAGGCGGCUGCGGCCACCAUGCUGGUUGUGUCUCAUCCGGCAGAUGCUCUGGCGACGGAGGACGAGGCCUUUGCCGCGCUUGCCGCCGCCGCGCCUACCAUGGCGGCGGCAGGGGUGCAGGUGCCCGCGGCCGCGGCCCCCGCCGUCACGACGGAGGCUGCGGUGCCAGUACCGGUACCGACAGAGGCGGCGCCAGCUGCAUCCGCUGUGGUGGCCGCGGCGGCUGCUGCUUCAGCCGUUGUUGUUGUGGACGAGGCGGCUACAGCCGCGGUGGCGCCUGGCGCGGAGGCAGAGGCGGCGCCCGCUGCUGAGGCGGACGCGGCGCUGGCCUUGCCUGCCGUGACUGAGGAGUCGGCGGCCGCGCCCACCAUCGUGACGGAGUCGGCACCGUCGGCGCCGGCUGUGGUGGCGGCCGCGGCUACGGCCGAGGAGAAGGUGGCGGCCCCCGCGGCUGCUGCUGACGCGGGCGCUGCGCUGUCCAGCCCCACCGCCGAGCCCACCGAGGUUGCUGAGGCAGAGGAGGCGGCCGCAACGGCGGCGGCUGAGAACCUGGAGCCGGUGGCGCCCGUUGCGGACGAGCAGGCUGCGACCGAGGCAGUGGCCGAGGAGGCGGCGGCGAAGGCUCCUGCGCUUGAGCCUGCAACCACGGCUGAGGCGGCGGAGGUUGCUGCUCUGUCCAACCCCACCGCCGAGACCACGGAGGCCGCUGAGAAGGAGGAGGAGGCCGCCACGGCGGCGGCUGAGAACCUGGAGCCGGUGGCGCCCGUUGCGACCGAGCAGACGAAGCCGGUUGCUCUGGAGCCGGUUGAGGCGGCCGCUGCGGUCGAGGCUGCACCUGUUGCGCCCACUGCUGACGUCGUUGACGGCGCCCCUGCCGCUGAUGCGGCGGCUGUGGCCCUGGUGGAGGGAGCGGCGGCAGAGCCCGUGCCGGAGGCUAUCGCUCCUGAGGCUGCUGCGCUUGAGCCCGCAACUACGGCUGAGGCCGCGGAGGGAGCUGUUCUGUCCAAUCCCACUGCCGAGACCACGGAGGUAGCUGAGAAGGAGGAGGAGGCCGCCACGGCGGCGGCUGACAACCUGGAGCCGGUGGCGCCCGUUGCGGCCGAGCAGGCGAAGCUGGUUGCUCUGAAGCCGGUUGAGGCGGCCGCUGAGGUCGAGGCUGCACCUGUUGCGCCCACUGCUGACGUCGUUGACGGCGCCCCUGCCGCUGAUGCGGCGGCUGUGGCCCAGGUGGAGGAAGCAGCGGCGAAACCCGUGCCGGAG
rnacentral:lncRNA from 1 species